GAUUUUUUACUAAAAUGAUGUAGCAUCAGCCCAACUCACAUGCUCUAAUGCAUAAAUUAUUAAACUCAAAGUUUACACGAGUCAGUUCCCUUGUCAGCGAUCAAACCCUAACGAGUUCCCAUUCUUCCCUGGAGAUCAGCUCACUAAUUUCAAAGGCCAAUCCCAGACACCAGGAGGCGGAGGAGGAGCAGGUGGUGCUUCGCAGAGAUUGAUGUCGAUCACUGAUGCUCUGUUGUUUAUCAAGCAACUCAAGGACGUGGGUGGUGACCAAAGAGAAGAAUAUUACAUGUUUCUUGAAAUCAUGAAAGAUUUUAAGGCUCAAAGGAUCGACACGAAGGGUGUUUGUGCGAGAGUAAAGGCAUUAUUCAAAGGGCACAACCACUUAAUUUUGGGAUUUAAUCGGUUCCUGCCACAGGGUUAUCAGAUAAUCCCUGAGGAAGAAGAUGCGACUCCGCCGCUGCAAAAACAGACAGUUGAUAUGAAGCUGCUAUCGCGUUUGUAAACAAUACAGGGAUUGCAGGUCAAGGAGAAUGGAGAUAAGGAUCCAUUGGAGGAGGAGGCAACAUGUUGACAAAGUACACUAUUAAUUAUGAUGGAGUUCCAAAACUAAGAAGUCAUCAUCGACAUCAGACGAAUUUAGUAUAAAAAACACAUGUAAGACCGUUUAUUGAAAAAGAUGGUUGUCGGUACAAAUUUGUCGUUAUUUCAUGUUAGUAGGAGUUUAGAGAACAUUGCAUAGUGCUUUAUUGGGCAACCUUGUGCUUAUAAAUCUUAGUUUUUUGAUUACCCAAUUGUAUAAUUUUCUUUUGGUUAAACAAAAUAAUAUGAGAGACAGAGAAAAUGAG